rnacentral:tRNA from 1 species
GUUCGGAUGGCCGAGUGGUUAUGGCAUCGGACUUCUAAUCCGGUUGACUGUUGUGUCUGUAGGUUCGAUUCCUGCUCCUGAACA